AGCGAACGCUGGCGGCAGGCCUAACACAUGCAAGUCGAACGAACUCUUCGGAGUUAGUGGCGGACGGGUGAGUAACACGUGGGAACGUGCCUUUUGGUUCGGAAUAACUCAGGGAAACUUGUGCUGAUACCGAAUGUGCCCUUCGGGGGAAAGAUUUAUCGCCAUUAGAGCGGCCCGCGUCUGAUUAGCUAGUUGGUGAGGUAACGGCUCACCAAGGCGACGAUCAGUAGCUGGUCUGAGAGGAUGACCAGCCACACUGGGACUGAGACACGGCCCAGACUCCUACGGGAGGCAGCAGUGGGGAAUCUUGCGCAAUGGGCGAAAGCCUGACGCAGCCAGGCCGCGUGAAUGAUGAAGGUCUUAGGAUUGUAAAAUUCUUUCAACGGGGACGAUAAUGACGGUACCCGGAGAAGAAGCCCCGGCUAACUUCGUG
rnacentral:rRNA from 1 species